GACAUUACAUUAGAUGUCUAAAUUUGGUCAGUCCAGUUGAGUCGCACCUUCUGCAGAUCAUUGGACUGAUAUAAUACAGUCAAGUUUUACAAACAUUUAUGAAACCAGAUUCAGAUCUUUCUUUUCUUGCCUUUUUCAAUGCAACAUCCACCUAUAAACUGCUUUUGCAUUUGAAUGUGUAUUCGACCUUUGUCUUCUCACAGGACUGUGUUCCCAUGGCCUCUCCUGCAUUCCUUCUUUCUCUCUUUGACGGGGGCACCAGGGGGCGACGCUGCGCUAUAGAAGCAGACCUAAAGAUGAAGAAAUGAGCAGCCAGUGGGUGGAUUCCUCUGAAAUGAUAAUAAGUGACUGAGUGAUGAAGACAACAUAGGACAGUCUGUCUGAACCAUGUCUCUAACACGCUUAAACAGCAGAGUUCGUGAGGGUUUCACUGGAGUGUGGUGUUUGGGAUUGGACAACGAUGGGACUGUCUGAAAACCUGUGCAUAUAUGUCUGUGUGUAUGUAAUUUUGUGAGAUGUGUUUUGUGUAGUGCUAAAGAUUUGUUUUGUGUACGAAUAGUGCCUUUAUAGGUAUUGGUGAAUGACCGGUCGAAAGGACAAAAAAUUUAAAUUAAAAUGCCUUCUUAUGUAAGAACAAUGUUA